UUAAAUUGAAGAGUUUGAUCAUGGCUCAGAUUGAACGCUGGCGGCAGGCCUAACACAUGCAAGUCGAACGGUAACAGGAAGCAGCUUGCUGCUUCGCUGACGAGUGGCGGACGGGUGAGUAAUGUCUGGGAAACUGCCUGAUGGAGGGGGAUAACUACUGGAAACGGUAGCUAAUACCGCAUAAUGUCGCAAGACCAAAGAGGGGGACCUUCGGGCCUCUUGCCAUCGGAUGUGCCCAGAUGGGAUUAGCUUGUUGGUGGGGUAACGGCUCACCAAGGCGACGAUCCCUAGCUGGUCUGAGAGGAUGACCAGCCACACUGGAACUGAGACACGGUCCAGACUCCUACGGGAGGCAGCAGUGGGGAAUAUUGCACAAUGGGCGCAAGCCUGAUGCAGCCAUGCCGCGUGUAUGAAGAAGGCCUUCGGGUUGUAAAGUACUUUCAGCGGGGAGGAAGGGAGUAAAGUUAAUACCUUUGCUCAUUGACGUUACCCGCAGAAGAAGCACCGGCUAACUCCGUGCCAGCAGCCGCGGUAAUACGGAGGGUGCAAGCGUUAAUCGGAAUUACUGGGCGUAAAGCGCACGCAGGCGGUUUGUUAAGUCAGAUGUGAAAUCCCCGGGCUCAACCU
rnacentral:rRNA from 1 species